GAUGAACGCUAGCGGCAGGCCUAACACAUGCAAGCUGAGCGGUAUUGUUUCUUCGGAAACGAGAGAGCGGCGUACGGGUGCGGAACACGUGUGCAACCUGCCUUUAUCAGGGGGAUAGCCUUUCGAAAGGAAGAUUAAUACUCCAUAAUAUAAUAGAUGGCAUCAUUUAUUAUUGAAAACUCCGGUGGAUAGAGAUGGGCACGCGCAAGAUUAGAUAGUUGGUGAGGUAACGGCUCACCAAGUCAAUGAUCUUUAGGGGGCCUGAGAGGGUGAUCCCCCACACUGGUACUGAGACACGGACCAGACUCCUACGGGAGGCAGCAGUGAGGAAUAUUGGACAAUGGGUUAGCGCCUGAUCCAGCCAUCCCGCGUGAAGGACGACGGCCCUAUGGGUUGUAAACUUCUUUUGUACAGGGAUAAACCUAUCUACGUGUAGAUAGCUGAAGGUACUGUACGAAUAAGCACCGGCUAACUCCGUGCCAGCCGCCGCAGUAAUAC
rnacentral:rRNA from 1 species